rnacentral:rRNA from 1 species
UACGAAGGGGGCUAGCGUUGCUCGGAAUCACUGGGCGUAAAGCGCACGUAGGCGGAUCUUUAAGUCAGGGGCGAAAUCCCAAGGCUCAACCUUGGAACUGCCUUUGAUACUGGGGAUCUCGAGUCCGGAAGAGGUGAGUGGAACUGCGAGUGUAGAGGUGAAAUUCGUAGAUAUUCGCAAGAACACCAGUGGCGAAGGCGGCUCACUGGUCCGGUACUGACGCUGAGGUGCGAAAGCGUGGGGAGCAAACAGG